AGGUCUGUUGCGGCAAUUGAAUGCUUCAAAGGAUUUUAAUGGAGUUCAUUGUAGCUGAGUCGCAAAUCUCCAGCUUGCUUUCAUGUCUUUUCUCACUAGAGACAUCACCUGCCGGCGACGGCGAUGACCGCUACCCUGCUCCUCUCCCGGCAAAGGCAUGGCUACCUCUCCUGUGAAGUUAAGGCCAUCUUUGCCUCUUCCUUCAGUUUUUCCUCUGUUUUUUGUUACACGACUUUGUGGUGCUUAGUGUAUAUAUCAUUCCCCCCUGUCCAUUAAUUGAACAACUCUGCUACAUGUGAUUGCAUUAGCAAACUCCAUUUUUGUGUAUGUAGAAAAACAAAGGAAACUCCAUUUUUGUGUAUGUGGAAAAAACAAAGGAAACUGCAUUUUUGUGUAAUUACAAACAAAUGAAACUCCAUUUUUUUGUAAUUACAAACAAGAGACUUUUAGACGGCGAAGACUGCUGCCCUGAUCCUAAGAGCCUACUGACAUUUCACCAAAUCUUGUUAUAAUUUUUUUUAUCAGCAGCAGAUACUUUUAAAUUUGUCUUUACAAUUCCAAGUACAUGAUCAUACUGAUCCUUCUUUUUUUGAUGUAGCAGAACAAACGUUCGUAAUUUAUACACCUAGGCUCAGCUUCUCUAUAUUGAUACGAAGGCCUGGAGCAUGUUUCUUUUGUUUUCAACUCGAGAGGGCCAGGUAGGACCAUAUAGACACAGUAAAAGGCCAGUUUCUUUGUUCCACGCCUUACAAAAACGAGCAAGGCUGACAUAAUAUUUCUGGUUCCCUUCUACUGUGUGCAAACAGAACCUGGCGGCGCAAUAGCAGCUCAACUACUAUUGUUAUUAAUCAGGAUAAAUGCUUCUGCUUUUCAUCGGCCGGUAAACAUGCUAAGUUUGCCUGGCUGGCACACAUGCCUAGGCACAACAAUCUGCCCCAGCACCGCACGGCAAGGCGCGCUGCAGGUCAUUUAUAUAGCAUCUCCUCAUUUGUAUAUUAUUCACAUAUAGCAUCUCAUUUCUUGGUUGAUUGCUUACAUGUAUUAAACUUCUGGCUCUUUCGCUCCCAAGCUGGCCUCCCUCUCCUUGGUGCUCAGCGGCAGAAGCACGAGGCGCUGCACCUUUGACCCCGUAGUGCUCGGCUCCAAUUCAUCAGGGAGGCCACCGGCAAGCAUGAAGCUGCCCUUGGUGCUUCCUCCUCAUCAAGGAGGAGGAGGUCGGGUAGCGCCGUCCUCAAGGUACGUCCUCGCUGCUUUGACCCGCCUCUCUCGUGCACCUGUCCUUCCCUAUUUCUCUUACUGUCGCGGUGCUCGUGCCGCUGCCGAUCCUAACCUAGGUCGCCGUCACUCCUCGGCGCUUCGCAGGACAGGCACAACCGCGACACCGCAGAGACGGGCGAGGAUGUGGUGCUGCUCCUUCUUGUGGUGUAUGCAUUGACGUUGCUUGCGGUAGUGAUGCAUAUCUUCGUGGGCAAUGCUAUUUGAAGACCAUUCAAGUGAUUUAAGGGAGAAGAUGUCCAGAAUGUAAGGAGGUUGAAGAUGACGACCAAGAGGUUGACAUAUUAAGCGGCUGCCAAGAAGCCAAUAAUGCUUGCCCCCUGCCAUUAGUAAUACCCGCUCUUCUUUAUGAAAUCUUUCCUAACUAUCGUUGCAGAUUGUGAGAUCCCUAUUUAAAUACAUCACUCAGCGUCUGGCCGGUACAGAGUUGCAUGGCAGGCAUAUGUGUUCUCAGCCACCUUAUCAAUUGUAGGCUUAGAAUGAUUUGCUUCGUCCAAGUGUUGUUCGUCAACAAUUUUUUUGUUUGUCCAUGUCAAUUCUGAUUUUAGAGGAUACAUAUGUUUUGGUAGGAAGUGUAUUGUUCUUAUGUUUUUUCCUGGUAUGUACUGACUGAUGCAGUAAUUGAUGUUUCAGAUUAUGAAAUCCCUAUUUAAUAAAUCGCUCGGUAAUUGUCUUGU
rnacentral:lncRNA from 1 species